UCUUCACAAAAUUUGGCUUACAAUCUACAAUGUUUACCAAUUGUUCAGAUCGGACCCCUAUAUUACUACCAUACAAACUGAGCGAACAAAAUUAAGAUACAGAUUUUUCUAUAUCAUUUAAUGCUAUAAGAAAUCCAUGAGUGAAGGGUAUUACAGCUUCGGUGCAGUCGAAGUUAACCUUUGUUCCAGUUUGUUACAACUUCUGUUCGCCGCAAACGCGCCUACGAAAUGCAAAUACACUCGCACGUGUCGCAAUGAUAGUCACUAGGAAAGUCACGGAAUAAAUAUCAUUUGACAAGCCACUAAAAUGCACGGCUGUUGAUAUGUGCAUAGGCAUAAACAAAUAAAGCGAAUAGUUAGCGACAGUUCAGAAAUGGACUUAGUUACUUAGUACAUAUGUAAGCUAUGUGAUCGAUAAAUUUUAUGGCCACUAAUCGCGCUUGUCGGCAACUUAAUGUGAACCAGAACAAGAUUGUAGAGAGAGUGAGAUACAGAGCACAUGUGUGGGAAAAUGCGACAGAAAGUCAAAUGCAAUUAAUAUGAAAUACAAUGCCAACAACAAAUGGCGAGCGUUGAAUGACACAAACAAAACCAAUAACUGCAGUGCGAGUGAAGAGGAGCCAAAGCAGAAGCAGAAAAAGCGGUGUACUUCCUAAUGACAUUGUCACCACCAGAGGGCGGGUGUUGGUAAGAGGAAAUUGUUAUUUAUUUUCGUACAUAUUUUCAUGACCGAACAGCGUACACUGCAAUUAUUGUUUGCCAUUCUUACACGUUCCAACUGCCAGCUUUCCCAAGCCUCCCUAGCUAUGUGCUUAUAUGAGUGUGUGUGUUUAUCUAUUUAGUCGGUUGCGCGGCACACAUUUUUAAUCACUGUCGUCAUUGCGAUUGUGUAAUAAAAAAAAAUACGAGAAUAUAAAACAAAAAUUGUAACUGAAAUAUUGUAGGUUAUGUAUACAUAUGUACAUAUGUGUGUGUAAGUAUGUAUGUUAAAUGCACAAACGCCAUGCAAGUGAACUGUACAUAAACAGCGCUUGUUGGGAAACUGGGUGACUACUUAAACGUGCAUACUGUCGCACUGACGCACCGACGUCGCAAUCAGUUUGAUAUGCUAUUUUUACACUCUCGACAGAAUUAAGGUUGCAGUGACAAAACAAAAGGAAAAACAAACACGGCUAUUGACUAUGUGGCGUAGUGGUGCUGCAAUUAACGGCGCUGUUGAAAUUUGUUGUUGUUGCUGAAUGCAUGAGUAUGAAUGAAACGGUUAGGCGAUGGAAAAAGUAGCUAUGAAAGCAAUAACAACUUAUAAUCUAUGUGCUGAUAAGGGGAUUCACUGGCGUUAUCGCUGCUGUUUGCACACUUUAUUCAUACCGCUUCGCAGAAAUUUCACAAACAUGUGAAAAAAUUAAUAAUACAAUUACAACAACAAAAAUGGUAAUCAAAACAACAAAAACAAAACAAAAAUAAUAAUAAACAAAAUU
rnacentral:lncRNA from 1 species